rnacentral:tRNA from 1 species
GGGGUUGUGGCUCAGUGAUAGAGUGUUGCCUAGCAUGCACAAGGCACUGGGUUCGAUCCUCAGCACCACA